CACAAAUAUACUUUCAUCAUAGGGCAUUUAAUAUAAAUAUAAAAUAUAAAAUACUAAUAUAAAAGUAUUAGAAAAAAAUUUUCAUACUCCCAUCACAACACAUUUUGUUUGUCAUGCUCUUUUAUGAUUAAAGAUGUAAUUGACAUGCUAAAUCUUACAGAAUAAAAAAGAAUAAAAUGUGGGUUUCAACUUUGGAUUUUUAAAUCCUGACAUUUGCAGCUGAUUUCAUAAAACAUUAAAGCACACUUGGACAGGGACCUUGUUUGAGAUGGGUGGUAUAUUACAAUAGGCUGUGAAAGAUUGUGAAAUCAAGCCAGCUCCAUGGGAAUGUGCACAGCACACAUCUUCUGUGAAGCUCUGGCAGUGCCAAGAAAUUCUUGUACUCCUAAUUGGCCAAAUCCUGCUUUCAUCACUUGCAGAUCAUAGCCCACAAUCAGUAGAGGGCUUCCAGAGGUGUAUGAUAUUACCCCUGAGUGCUUAUCACAGACACUAAAAUUCAGGCAGUUAAACUCAAGAGAAAACAACUGGGUAGUGAAAACAGAAAAAUGACUGACAUUUGCGGAUUUCUGUUGUUGAUCCUGCACUGAUUAGGACCAAGCAGGAGUCUCCAGCUGCCACGCAGAAGGAAAGAGGCAGAUCUUUGAAGGAUGGUUUCUAACAACUUGUGAAGUUACCUGGGGUUAGACGGGAGUUCUGGCCAAAAUUGCAAAUCCUUCAAAUCUCCCAGAAGAGCAGAAGAAAAACAACUCAACAAUAUUUAAGAAAGUUAACUGGUGAGGUUAACUCAGAACCCCCAGGUGAAUUAGGUCAUCUCUGUCCCCUCCCCUGAAGACCUCGUGAACUCUGAGGGUAUGAAAUGGAAUUGAGAGUUGGGGACUGCAUUCUCCAGAGAUCGAUGAUGAAGGAGUUGAGAAAACAAGCUUCAUCCCCUAACCCCAAAAAACAAUUUACCUCACUAGUACAAAGCCAUUUGGUAGAAUCUGUGUUAUAGAAUCAGGUAACUUGAAGAAAUGAUGUGAAGUCAUCCAGUUUAUCCCCUACUUUCAAAUAACUAACAAGGUUGCACUGAAUUACUUCCUUGCCUUCAGACAUGUACUAGGAUGAACUCUAUGGCGUUCUUCAGGACUUGCAUUAUUUCAAAAAGUCCUUUGGUAAUCCUUUCCAAUGUCUGACCAACACCAACCACCCAAUUAAUAUCUAACCUAAACCCUUCCUGUUACUUAUUUAAGUCAUUUAUUUUCUUUGAUACCUUGGGAGACAUGGGACAGCAGCAGGUCUCCUUUUCAGGAAUCUUUCUCAAUGCGUGAACUGCCCUUAUUAUAAUGCAGAGUGAGUGAAACAUUCGAGGGAGAAUCUCAAAAACAUGAAUUGUUUAAUUCUCAAAUAAUAAAGGAAAUCUGGUAAAGUUAUGGUUUUGACUUUUCCACCUACUAGCUCUGUGCUCUUGGACAAGUGAUGUAGCAUCUCUAAAUAUCAAUGUAUUCUUUUGUAAUGUAGCUGUAAUACUUAAACCAAAGAUUAUUAUAAAUAUUCAAAAGCAUAAUAUAUGCAAAAUGGUCAAUUGUGAAGCACAAUACCAAUACUAGGUAUAGUAAUAAUUAUCAAUUUGUCAUGAGGAUUAAGUCAGAAGAAUCAUGGUGAAAUAACAAUUGUUGAGAAAGUGUGGAGAAACUGGAACUCGGGCAUUGCUGGUGGGAAUGUAAAAUGGGACAGCAGCUAUGAAAGCAGUAUUGCAGUUCCUCAAAGUUAUUAAACAUCGCCAGUGAUUCCACUCCUGGAUAUACACCCAAUAAGAGGUGACUCAAACAGAUAUUUGUACACCAGUGCUCAUAGCAACAUUAUUCACAAUAGCCAACAGGUG
rnacentral:lncRNA from 1 species